GACGAACGCUGGCGGCGUGCUUAACACAUGCAAGUCGAACGGAAAGGCCCUGCUUUUGUUGGUUGCUCGAGUGGCGAACGGGUGAGUAACACGUGAGUAACCUGCCCUUGACUUUGGGAUAACUUCAGGAAACUGGGGCUAAUACCGGAUAGGAGCUCCUGCUGCAUGGUGGGGGUUGGAAAGUUUCGGCGGUUGGGGCUGGACUCGCGGCUUAUCAGCUUGUUGGUGGGGUAGUGGCUUACCAAGGCUUUGACGGGUAGCCGGCCUGAGAGGGUGACCGGCCACAAUGGGACUGAGAUACGGACCAGACUCCUACGGGAGGCAGCAGUGGGGAGUAUUGCACAAUGGGCGGAAGCCUGAUGCAGCAACGCCGCGUGCGGGAUGACGGCCUUCGGGUUGUAAACCGCUGUCGCAGGUGACGAAGAGUGAGUGACGGUAAUGGGUAAAGAAGCACCGGCUAACUACGUG
rnacentral:rRNA from 1 species